UCAGCUUUCGUUAUUACUACAGUAGUAAACCACUGAACCCAAAACUGUGUUAUGUACCCACAGAAAUGACCUAAUUAAUACGCUCCACCAGCCUCCCAAAAAUCAAACGCCAGCGCUAUAUAAAUUCAUGUAUCUGGACCAGUAAUUCUCAGCACAACACUCUGUGCCUAGAUGAUGAAGAGCACGGUUUCCAUGGCAGAUAGUGAGCAAGGAGUAGAUGAUGAAGAUGAAAGAGUUGUUGUGAGUCCAUUGAUCUCAUCAUUAUCGAAUUAGCAAUUUACCAGAAAUUUUGACGGGCUCUUGUCUCUCACCGGAACACCAGCUUCUUGAGACCCAUGUUUGUCCGCUGAACCAGUCACCAUGGGAUGUUAUAAACUUCCCAACCUGAUUCAUCACCAACCUGAUUCAUCAUCAACGUCUCCAUACCAGGUAUGAAUUCUUGGAUUGCACGGCAAGGACUAAUCUUGACAUUCUUCCAAAGAAUUACUACCGAACAACUAGUGCUUGGAUGAUAUUCUUCGUUCUUGAAAGUGAGCUGAUAUUUAUAUGUACAAUGAAUUCAUGGAUAAUCUGGGGAGAAACAGCGAGCAGCGGUGGCUAAAUUGGAUGAAAAACGACUUUGUUUCUUGUACAUCUAUCAUAAUUCUCUGGUGUUGCAUUGAUGUGGGAGCACCCUCAGUCUGAAACUUUAUAUGGAACAUCACAAAAGUAUGCUUCACAGAAUAAUCAGGUAUCUUCUGAGCAAUUACCAUCACAGUUUGGUAAAGUGCAACAAUUGCAGCAGCAUAUGUCAAAUGUGCCUACAGCACCUCAAAAAGAGGUUCAGAUAGACAAUCAAGGGAACCAACUUCCCCAACUACUGGCUGUUCUCUCUCAUGGGAACACCAGCUUCUUGAGACCCAUGUGUGUCUGCUGAACCAGUCACCAUGGGAUGUUAUAAACUUCCCACCUGAUUCAUCAUCAAUGUCUCCAUACCAGAUUCCCCUUGCGCCUUUGCUACUCAAAUAGAAAAGGAAGAGGUGGAUUCGUGGGUGCCUAUGCUACUCAAGCAGAAAAGGGAAAGGUGGAUUCGCGGUCAAUAUAUGUUGGUAAUGCAUGAAUUCUUGGAUUGCACGGCAAGGACUAGUCUAGAUAUUCUUCCAAAGAAUUACUAUGGAGCAACUAGUGCUUGGAUGAUAAUCUUCGUUCUUGAAAGUGAGCUGAUAUUUAUAUGUACAAUGAAUUCAUGGAUAAUCUGGGGAGAAACAGUGAGCAGCGGUGGCUAAAUUGGAUGAAAAAAACGACUAUGUUUCUUGUACAUCCUUCAUAAUUAUCCGGUGUUGCAUUGAGGUGGGAGCACCCUCAGUCUGAAAAGUUAUAUGGAACGUCACAAAAAUAUGCUUCACAGAAUAAUCAGGUAUCUUCUGAGCAAUUACCAUCACAGUUUGGUGAAGUGCAUCAAUUGCAGCAGCUGCCGCAGCAUUUGUCAAAUGUGCCUACAGCACCUCAAAAAGAGCUUCAGAUAGACAAUCAAGGGAACCGACAUCCCAAAAGUACUGGUACAUUAGAGGAAGCAGAUGUAGAUCAACAUUAAAGCCUACAAGCAACUUUACAACUACAGCUGCUCUCCUAAAGCAAAUUUAACAAGGAAGAAAACCUAACCAGCAACAGGUAUGAAGGGCUACGAAAAUGAGAUUGGAUAGAGUAUGCAUGAGGAAAUCUGUUUAUGACAAAAGUAACGUGAGUGGUUGAUGAAAAAUUUGUCUCUAUCCAGUUGCGGAUAAAUAAUAGUAUGUUGUUGGUUUCGCUUUCCACUUUUGCAGAUUAUACCGAACUGAAGCUUUCAUUCAAGUGGUGGAAAGUUAGAUCUCUUUAUGAAAUGAUUUGGUUUAGUUAAUGAAUGGUAAUUUGGCCAGUGAUACUUGUUAUGGUUCAUUCUGUUACGCGUUUGUAGCCUGUUCUGAAUAGCUAGCCAUGGUAUAAAUUUAUGACUUGGGAUAGAGGGAUUGAACCAUGCUAUACGAGUCCAUGUCUUUGGAGAAGGUGGAGGAGAUAAAGCUUGGAGGGUGUGAGCCAGUGAAAACGUUUUAUUUGGAGAAGGGAUUCAUGCUAUCUGAUCAUCUAUGUGGAUUGAAGACUGUUAAUGGUGUUUAAAUCAGGCAGAAGUCUGAGUAGUGGAGAGGGGAAACUACACGAACCAUUAGUGAUAAAAGUACUAACACAUGCAUUAAACUCAUCUUUAUGCUACGAACACGUUGUAUCCGUUUAUUUUUUUUGUUACCUUUUGACCGCUUGUUCAUCUACAUCCCCGACAUUUGGUAAAUUUAGUUGAAAGGCUUUAGUUGACAGUGGAGGGAAUUUGCUGUAUUUUUCCUUUUGAGAUUUUUUUGCUUUUUUAAACUAAUUUAAUUAUAAGGGG